rnacentral:rRNA from 1 species
GGCUAGGACGAACGCUGGCGGCGUGCCUAAUACAUGCAAGUCGAACGGCUUUCUAUGGAAGCUUGCUUCCACUGAGAAGAUAGUGGCGAACGGGUGAGUAACACGUGGGUAACCUGCCCAGUAAGAGGGGGGAUAACAUCCGGAAACGGGUGCUAAUACCGCAUAGUUUCUUGAUCGCAUGAUCGGGAAAGGAAAGACGGCCUUUGUGCUGUCGCUUAUGGAUGGACCCGCGGCGUAUUAGUUAGUUGGUGAGGUAACGGCUCACCAAGACGAUGAUACGUAGCCGACCUGAGAGGGUGAUCGGCCACAUUGGGACUGAGACACGGCCCAAACUCCUACGGGAGGCAGCAGUAGGGAAUCUUCCGCAAUGGACGAAAGUCUGACGGAGCAAACCGCCGCGUGAACGAAGAAGGCCGUGAGGUUGUAAAGUUCUUUUCGGGAGGGGGAACAACCGUGGCAGGGAAUGGCCGCGGGAUGACGUGAAUCCCGGAAUAAGCCCCGGCUAACUACGUGCCAGCCGCCGC